GACGAACGCUGGCGGCGUGCUUAACACAUGCAAGUCGAGCGGUAAGGCCUUUCGGGGUACACGAGCGGCGAACGGGUGAGUAACACGUGGGUGAUCUGCCCUGCACUUCGGGAUAAGCCUGGGAAACUGGGUCUAAUACCGGAUAUGACCUCCUAUCGCAUGGUGGGUGGUGGAAAGAUUUAUCGGUGCAGGAUGGGCCCGCGGCCUAUCAGCUUGUUGGUGGGGUAAUGGCCUACCAAGGCGACGACGGGUAGCCGACCUGAGAGGGUGACCGGCCACACUGGGACUGAGACACGGCCCAGACUCCUACGGGAGGCAGCAGUGGGGAAUAUUGCACAAUGGGCGAAAGCCCGAUGCAGCGACGCCGCGUGAGGGAUGACGGCCUUCGGGUUGUAAACCUCUUUCAGCAGGGACGAAGCGCAAGUGACGGUACCUGCAGAAGAAGCACCGGCUAACUACGUG
rnacentral:rRNA from 1 species